AGAGAAAUUUUCACUUUUAGUCCCACGAGUAUGUGGUCAUUUCCACAUUUGAUUCCUGACUAUUGAAAUUUCUAAAUUUAGUCCCACGACUUUGAAAUCCCUACCACUUUGGGUCCUUCAGAUCAAAAUUCCAGCCACCGAUGGUCAUUUUUCCGGCGAGUGAAUUAUAUUAUGGGCAAAAUUGUCUUUUUAUACUAAAAUUA